rnacentral:misc_RNA from 1 species
UCCUUCUUAUCGAAGGCAGUUUUCGAAGAGUGCAUCCCUUGCGGGAUUAGCAACAUCGAAUAGGGGUUGCGCUCGUUGCGGGACUUAACCCAACAUCUCACGACACGAGCUGACGACAACCAUGCAGCACCUCUGCUGGCUUCCUUGCGGAUCAGCCUCUGUUUCCAAAGACUUACUACCAGUAGUUCAAGCCCAGGUAAGGUUCUUCGCGUUGCAUCGAAUUAAACCACAUGCUCCACUGCUUGUGCGGGCCCCCGUCAAUUCUUUUGAGUUUCACCCUUGCGAGAGUACUCCCCAGGCGGCAUACUUAAUGCGUUAGCUCCGGUACAGAGGGGGUUGAGCCCCCCUACACCUAGUAUGCAUCGUUUAGGGCGUGGACUAC